UGUGACCGCCUGGGAGCCGGCUCGGCAGCUGGCACACCCUCAGGGCCCCGACCUCGCUGGCAGGGCACCCGACUGUUGUGUCAGCCGCACAGCUGUCGGGGCCUCUCAGAGCCGCUGAUGGAGCGAAUCCGACAUGGCGGAAACAUUCUCAGCGUCGCCCAAGCUCCACGCCCCCGUGGCUGUGCCCUCUCUCUUAAUCUCACCAGUUCCCAGCAGGAAAAAAAAAAAAAAAAACAACCCAGCACCUCCCACAUGCGGGGGCACACUUCCCGGGCGCCUGGAUGGCUCUGCUGCCUCCCUUCGGGCUGUGAUCCAGGCGUCCCUGCCCCCAGGGACCGGUUCUGCCCAGACCCCCCCUGCCUACCCUCCUUCUCUGGCCAGAAGGUGAACUGACCCCAGGGCUCGGAACCUGCCCUCUGUGAGAAUAGCUUCACAGCAGACGUGGAUCAGAUUGUCAAGCCCGCACCCCAUUCAGACGGGCAGAUGAUUCCAGAGGUCUUGGGGACACCAGCUACCAUGCAGGGCUCCAGGGAACCCCACACAACACGACCUUGGUCCCUGCCCUCAAGGAGUGUCCGGCCCAGCCCAGGAGACCAACAGGCUUCAUCCCAAGUCCCCUCUGCCCCAGGACCACACUGCACCCUGGAGACUUCACAUGACAAAGAGUCUACCUCAUCUUGACUCUGAGAAUACAAAAGAUGAGUUUCUCUGAUCAAGGACUUGCGCACCGCUGGGUGAAACUCUCAGUCACAAAGGGGAGCAGGGCAAAGGACUGAGCCGAGGCCCAGAGCUCCCUCUUGCCCUCCAGGG